GUGAGGAAUUUUCCGCAAUGGGCGCAAGCCUGACGGAGCGACGCCGUGUGGGUGAUGAAGGCCUUCGGGUCGUAAAGCUCUGUCAUCGGGGACGAACGGCCUCAGCAGGUAAUGGCUGGGGAUUGACGGUACCCGAGAAGGAAGCCACGGCUAACUACGUGCCAGCAGCCGCGGUAAUACGUAGGUGGCAAGCGUUGUCCGGAAUUAUUGGGCGUAAAGCGCGCGCAGGUGGGAUCUUAAGUCCAUUUUGAAAGUUCGGAGCUCAACUCCGUGAUGGGAUGGAAACUGGGAUUCUUGAGUACCGGAGAGGAAAGCGGAAUUCCCCGUGUAGCGGUGAAAUGCGUAGAUAUGGGGAGGAACACCAGUGGCGAAGGCGGCUUUCUGGACGGUGUCUGACACUGAGGCGCGAAAGCCAGGGGAGCGAACGGGAUUAGAUACCCUUGUAGUCC
rnacentral:rRNA from 1 species